rnacentral:rRNA from 1 species
UUCCUGGUGUUUAUAGCGUAUUGGACCCACUCCGACCCAUACCGAACUCGGAUGUGAAACUUUACUGCGGCAACGAUAUUGGAGGGGGAGCCCUUUGAGAAACUAGCACGAUGCCAGGAAG